UACGGGGGGGGCAAGCGUUGUUCGGAAUUACUGGGCGUAAAGGGCUCGUAGGCGGCCAACUAAGUCAGACGUGAAAUCCCUCGGCUUAACCGGGGAACUGCGUCUGAUACUGGAUGGCUUGAGUUUGGGAGAGGGAUGCGGAAUUCCAGGUGUAGCGGUGAAAUGCGUAGAUAUCUGGAGGAACCCCGGUGGCGAAGGCGGCAUCCUGGGCCAACACUGGCGCUGAGUGAGCGAAAGCCAGGGGAGCAAACGGG
rnacentral:rRNA from 1 species